UACAGGGAAAAGUACCUAAGGGAGCUACCAUUUGAUUUUUAUGGGGGGGCUAGGAUGAAAUUUGAAAAAAAUAGGCAGGACAGGAGUUUUGAGUAAAAAAAAAGGCAGGAUGAGACACUUGCAAAAAAAAAAAAGUCAGGACGACAAUUUAGGUAAAAAAAAGGCAGGACCGAACAGAGUGAAAAAUAAAAAGGCAGGACAGAGAUUACAGCUAAAAAAAAAUUCAGGACAAAAUUUUUCAUCCUAGCCCCCCCAUAAAAAUCAAAUGGUAGCGCCCUAAUAUAGAUUUA
rnacentral:lncRNA from 1 species